rnacentral:ncRNA from 1 species
AACGAUAGAGGCGCAUGGUAUCAUCAGUAACAGUGCGAAUGAGGUCUGCCGAGGGCCGCGCUGCGAAAGGGGUAUAUGCCGAAGAGGUGGUUUGGCAUCCACGCUCUGGGAGCCGGAAAUAAUAUUUCGGCUACUGUCGCAGAAAUGCGGAGUGCUAUCAU